rnacentral:rRNA from 1 species
ACGAACGCUGGCGGCGUGCCUAAUACAUGCAAGUUGAACGCAACAAAGACACCAGAGCUUGCUCUACCGUCUUUGUUGAGUAGCGAACGGGUGAGUAACGCGUGGGUAACCUGCCUUAUAGCGGGGGAUAACUAUUGGAAACGAUAGCUAAUACCGCAUAACAAUAGAGAUUGCAUAAUCUUUAUUUGAAAGUGCCAACUGGUACACUAUGAGAUGGACCCGCGUUGUAUUAGCUAGUUGGUAGUGUAAUGGACUACCAAGGCGAUGACACAUAGCCGACCUGAGAGGGUGAUCGGCCACAUUGGGACUGAGACACGGCCCAAACUCCUACGGGAGGCAGCAGUAGGGAAUCUUCGGCAAUGGACGAAAGUCUGACCGAGCAACGCCGCGUGAGUGAAGAAGGUUUUCGGAUCGUAAAACUCUGUUGUUAGAGAAGAAUGUUGAUUAGAGUGGAAAAUUAAUCAAGUGACGGUAUCUAACCAGAAAGGGACGGCUAACUACGUG